AAGCCUGAUGCAGCGACGCCGCGUGAGGGAUGACGGCCUUCGGGUUGUAAACCUCUUUCAGUAGGGAAGAAGCGUAAGUGACGGUACCUGCAGAAGAAGCGCCGGCUAACUACGUGCCAGCAGCCGCGGUAAUACGUAGGGCGCAAGCGUUAUCCGGAAUUAUUGGGCGUAAAGAGCUCGUAGGCGGUUUGUCGCGUCUGCCGUGAAAGUCCGGGGCUCAACUCCGGAUCUGCGGUGGGUACGGGCAGACUAGAGUGAUGUAGGGGAGACUGGAAUUCCUGGUGUAGCGGUGAAAUGCGCAGAUAUCAGGAGGAACACCGAUGGCGAAGGCAGGUCUCUGGGCAUUAACUGACGCUGAGGAGCGAAAGCAUGGGGAGCGAACAGGAUUAGAUACCCUGGUAGUCCAUGCCGUAAACGUUGGGCACUAGGUGUGGGGGACAUUCCACGUUUUCCGCGCCGUAGCUAACGCAUUAAGUGCCCCGCCUGGGGAGUACGGCCGCAAGGCUAAAACUCAAAGGAAUUGACGGGGGCCCGCACAAGCGGCGGAGCAUGCGGAUUAAUUCGAUGCAACGCGAAGAACCUUACCAAGGCUUGACAUGAACCGGAAACGCCUGGAAACAGGUGCCCCACUUGUGGUCGGUUUACAGGUGGUGCAUGGUUGUCGUCAGCUCGUGUCGUGAGAUGUUGGGUUAAGUCCCGCAACGAGCGCAACCCUCGUUCUAUGUUGCCAGCACGUGAUGGUGGGGACUCAUAGGAGACUGCCGGGGUCAACUCGGAGGAAGGUGGGGACGACGUCAAAUCAUCAUGCCCCUUAUGUCUUGGGCUUCACGCAUGCUACAAUGGCCGGUACAAAGGGUUGCGAUACUGUGAGGUGGAGCUAAUCCCAAAAAGCCGGUCUCAGUUCGGAUUGGGGUCUGCAACUCGACCCCAUGAAGUCGGAGUCGCUAGUAAUCGCAGAUCAGCAACGCUGCGGUGAAUACGUUCCCGGGCCUUGUACACACCGCCCGUCAAGUCACGAAAGUUGGUAACACCCGAAGCCGGUGGCCUAACCCCUUGUGGGGGGGAGCCGUCGAAGGUGGGACUGGCGAUUGGGACUAAGUCGUAACAAGGUAGCCGUACCGGAAGGUGCGGCUGGAUCACCUCCUUUCUAAGGA
rnacentral:rRNA from 1 species